UGUUAUUAUUAUUGUUUUGAUUAUUGUUGUUCUUAUUGCUGUCUUCUAUUGGCUAGGACUCAGAGAAAUUGAGAGGAGGCAAAGACAGAGGGGGGAGAGAAAGAUAGACACCUACAGACCUGCUUCACCACCUUGAAGUGAACCCACCUGGCAGCUUGGAAACAACAGCAACAACACUUGAGUACUGCUGGAGGAUAAAGUCCAACUUUGAAAGAAAGACCAUCUCACCCCAAAGCUGGGACUAUCUGCAUCUGAAUGAAGUCAUUGACAGGAUGGUCCACACUGCUGAGAUCCAGUUCACUCAUUCAUUCUCCUUACAAAAACACUAUUGAUUUCUAGAAAAGACACACCUCCUCCUUCCCAUCUCCCCAACAUUUGGUCAGUGGUCAUUUCUCCAUGGAAAAUAAAAUAAAUAAAAGAAAUUUCUUCAGCGGGGAUGGGGAGCCUGAGGCUACAGACACAGGCAGAGGAGGUGGAGGCAGAGCCAUGCACAAUAUCUUUGAUUCCAGCAUUGAAAUAUUAAUGGGAGAAAGAUGUCAGUCUCCCAUGUAUUGCACCUAUGUAACAGACUCUGGGGUGGGGGUCAGGGGAGUGUUCAGCUCUUGGGAUAUGAUGGGAAAGGAGGACCUAGAGGGGGUUGAAGUGUUAUGUGGAAAGAUGAGACAUGUUGUACAUGUACAAACUGCUCUAUUUUUCUCUUGACCCUAAACCAUUAACAACUCCCAUGAAGGAAGAAAGGAAGGAAGGAAGGAAACAAAGAAAGAAAGAAAGAAAGGAAGAAAGAAAGAAAGAAAGAGAAAGGUCUCCUGUGAGCACAACACUGUCAAACCAGAAAGGACCAGUGUUCCCAUCUUCCUAUUUCAAUGCCUCCGUUCUUAUGGUUAAAAUAGAAAAUAUAUAUAAAUAUAAUUAUAUGUAUAAUUAUAUAUAA